GGAUGUGAGGGUGAUCUGGCUGCGACAUCUGUCACCCCAUUGAUCGCCAGGGUUGAUUUGGCUGAUCUGGCUGGCUAGGCGGGUGUCCCGUUCCUCCCUCACCGCUCCAUGUGCGUCCCUCCCGAAGCUGCACGCUCGGUCGAAGACGACCAUCCCCGAUAGAGGAGGACCGUUCUUCGGUCAAGGGUAUACGAGUAGCUGCGCUCCCCUGCUAGAACCUCCAAACAAGCUCUCAAGGUCCUUAUACCCUUCACCUACUUUCCUCCAGUGGUAGCCACUUACAAAACUAUGGUUUACUGUCACAUUGAGGAUAUUGACUCUGAUCCAGAUGACUUCUCUCACUCAGAUUUCCUCAGUUUU
rnacentral:snRNA from 1 species